rnacentral:rRNA from 1 species
AGUGAACGCUGACGGCAUGCUUAACACAUGCAAGUCGCACGGGCAGCAAUGUCAGUGGCGGACGGGUGAGUACCGCGUAGGAAUGUGUCCAGAGGUGGGGGACAACCUUGGGAAACUGAGGCUAAUACCGCAUAUGAGCUGAGGCUCAAAGCAGCGAUGCGCCUUUGGAGUAGCCUGCGUCCGAUUAGCUAGUUGGUGGGGUAAAGGCCUACCAAGGCGACGAUCGGUAGCUGGUCUGAGAGGACGACCAGCCACACUGGGACUGAGACACGGCCCAGACUCCUACGGGAGGCAGCAGUGGGGAAUAUUGGACAAUGGGCGCAAGCCUGAUCCGGCAAUGCCGCGUGUGUGAAGAAGGUCUUCGGAUCGUAAAGCACUUUCGACGGGGACGAUGAUGACGGUACCCGUAGAAGAAGCCCCGGCUAACUUCGUGCCAGCCGCCGCAGUAA